rnacentral:rRNA from 1 species
AUGUUCCUUCUACUCAUGAUCUUCUUGCUUUCCUCGACGGUGGUGGCGGCACAGGCCGACGCGAACCCAGGCAAGAUCGCAAGGAGUCAGUUCCCCAAGGACUUCCUCUUCGGCACAGCCUCUUCGGCUUACCAGUAUGAAGGUGCUGCGAGGGAAGGCGGCAGAGGACCCAGCAUCUGGGACGCCUUCACUCACAAUCACCCAGAAAAGAUAGCAAAUGGAAGCAAUGGAGAUGUAGCAAUAGACUCCUACCACCGGUACAAGGACGAUGUCAACAUCAUGAAGGAUUUGGGCUUUAAUGCCUAUAGAUUUUCUCUUUCUUGGUCACGAAUUCUGCCUAGUGGGAAAUUGAGUGGAGGGGUCAACAUGGAAGGAAUCAAUUACUACAACAAUCUCAUCGAUAAACUCAUUUCGGAAGGUAUUGAACCAUUUGUAACCCUUUUUCACUGGGACUCCCCGGAAGUAUUAGAACAGCAGUAUGGUGGCUUCUUAAGCCAGCUUAUUGUGGAAGAUUUCAAGGACUAUGCCAGCAUCUGCUUCAGGGAGUUUGGUGACAGGGUGAAGUACUGGAUAACAUUCAACGAGCCUUGGAGUUUCAGUAUUGGUGGCUAUUCUAGUGGUACAUACGCACCUGGUAGAUGCUCGUCUUCGGCAAAGCCAGGUUGUAGCAUGGGAGACUCGGGAAGGGAACCUUAUAUAGUAGCUCAUAAUCAACUUCUGGCUCAUGCAGCAGCAGUUCAAGUGUACAGAGACAAAUACCAGAUAGAGCAAAAAGGGAAGAUCAGCAUUACAAUAGUUAGUAAUUGGAUAAUUCCCUACACAAAUUCCAAAGAAGACAAGGAUGCUUCCAAACGUGCAUUGGACUUCAUGUAUGGAUGGUUCAUGGAUCCCUUAACCAAGGGACAUUAUCCACUCAGCAUGAAAACACUGGUUGGUAACAGACUACCAAAAUUCACAAAAGAGCAGGCAAGGGCUGUAAAAGGAUCAUUUGAUUUCAUUGGCCUUAAUUAUUAUUCAGCAAGAUAUGCAAAGAAUACUAAACACAAUAGCAAUAGUAAAGAAAGCUACAGUACUGAUUCACAAACUGAUCAAAGAGUGGAAAGAAAUGGAACGUAUAUUGGCCCAAAGGCUGGCUCUUCUUGGCUCUAUAUCUAUCCAAGAGGAAUAGAAGAACUACUGCUAUAUACCAAGAAGACAUAUAACAACCCUACUAUAUACAUCACAGAAAAUGGUGUUGAUGAAAUUAACAAUGAAAAUUUACCUCUUCAAGAAGCGUUAAUUGACAAUACCAGAAUAGAAUUCUACCAGCAACACAUAUUCUAUGUUCAAAGAGCCCUAAAGCAAGGAGUUGACGUACGAGGAUACUUUGCAUGGUCACUAUUUGACAACUUCGAGUGGGUGGAUGGUUAUAGUGUUCGGUUUGGUCUUAACUACAUCAACUACAAGGAUGGUCUGAAACGAUAUCCAAAGCGAUCAAGCCAAUGGUUUCAGAAGUUUCUUCAUCACUAA